GUUCCUCUCCAAGGGGACGGACGGACACUCGUACUGGAUUGGACUCACCGACCAGGGCACUGAAGGCCGCUGGCGCUGGGUGGACGGCUCAGAAUACAGAGCAGACGCCAGCAGGGGGUUCUGGUUGCCCGGUGAGCCUAACAACAGUGGAGGCAGAGAAGACUGUGCUCACUUCCACACACGGAAGCAGACUUUGUGGAAUGACGCCCCUUGCACUGAAUCUAUUCGGUGGAUUUGUAAGCAGGCCCAUGGACAGGAGGUGAUGCGCAAUAUCCCCUGCUGAAGCAAGCAGGAGCAAAGCCUCGUGACUUGGGUGUUCGUUUGUGAGCGCUGACAGCACCGCACCAUCCUCCCUGAUGCUGCCCCGGCCACACACAGAGCAAAGACAUCGUCCUCCUCCUUCUCUCUUCUCUUCUUUUUCACGCAUGGUUUGUUUGGGGUGGAACUUAGGGCUGUGGGGUGGGGUGACCCUGGAUGUUGAGUCCAGUGGAGAAGGGGGGCUAUUUUGUUUCAUCUCAUUAUUUUCCAUAUGCUUUGCCGUUCUUUCUGGCUGUAGCAGAGACACUGGUCCCCUGCUGCCCGGCAUGUAUGGGUCUCUAAUUUGUAUGUUUCCAGGUCUGUCAGUAAAUAAACUACUUGGACCAUGGAGUUACUACUUCCAAAUCAUUCAAUAAAUAAUAAUUUGCUGCCUUCCACUAGAAUUUCUAUUUUGUUUUUGCACCUUGAAAAUCAGAUGCAGAAAGAUGUAGAAAUACAUAUAUAUUCUCUAAAUAUAGAAA